rnacentral:rRNA from 1 species
CCUACGGGGGUCAGCAGUGAGGAAUAUUGGUCAAUGGACGAGAGUCUGAACCAGCCAAGUAGCGUGAAGGAUGACUGCCCUAUGGGUUGUAAACUUCUUUUAUAAAGGAAUAAAACGAGGCACGUGUGCCUUUUUGCAUGUACUUUAUGAAUAAGGAUCGGCUAACUCCGUGCCAGCAGCCGCGGUAAUACGGAGGAUCCGAGCGUUAUCCGGAUUUAUUGGGUUUAAAGGGAGCGUAGAUGGGUUGUUAAGUCAGUUGUGAAAGUUUGCGGCUCAACCGUAAAAUUGCAAUUGAUACUGGCAGUCGUGAGUACAGUUGAGGUAGGCGGAAUUCGUGGUGUAGCGGUGAAAUGCUUAGAUAUCACGAAGAACCCCGAUUGCGAAGGCAGCUUACUAAACUGUGACUGACAUUGAUGCUCGAAAGUGUGGGUAUCAAACAGGAUUAGAUACCCUGGUAGUC